rnacentral:rRNA from 1 species
CAAUAGCGUAUAUUUAAGUUGUUGCAGUUAAAAAGCUCGUAGUUGGAUUUCGGUUAAGAGCGACCGGUCCGCCGUUUGGUGUGCACUGGUUGGUUUUAACUUCCUGUAGAGGACGUGCUCUGGGUUUAACGACCUGGACUCGGAGUCUACGUGGUUACUUUGAAAAAAUUAGAGUGUUCAAAGCGGGCUUACGCUUGAAUAUUUCAGCAUGGAAUAACACUAUAGGACUCCUGUCCUAUUUCGUUGGUCUCGGGACGGGAGUAAUGAUUAAGAGGAACAGUUGGGGGCAUUCGUAUUUCAUUGUCAGAGGUGAAAUUCUUGGAUUUUUGAAAGACGAACUUCUGCGAAAGCAUUUGCCAAGGAUGUUUUCAUUAA